rnacentral:sRNA from 1 species
CAUUGCUUAGCUUCUUAUUCAUUGUAAUUUCUUUUCUCAAUUUUGCAGUUCCUGAGAGUGGAGAUCUGGAUGAUGAUGCUGAAGCUAUCCUUGCUGCAGACUUCGAAAUUGGUCACUUUUUACGUGAGCGUAUAAUCCCAAGAUCAGUGUUAUAUUUUACUGGAGAAGCUAUUGAAGAUGAUGAUGAUGAUUAUGAUGAAGAAGGUGAAGAAGCGGAUGAGGUAAUGUUUACCAAAUGAGCAAAUAAUUCUCUGUGGUUAACACAUUGAGAAGCAAAUUGAAUGACUUAUGUAUUCCUUUGCUAUAAUCAUUCUGUGAUUUGGGAUAAAAACAUUUUGGAAAACAUGAUUUUAGAAUUCUACAGCCAAACAAUGUAUGUAUAAGGUUUCAAUAAAUAAAUUGCAAAACUCAGCAACAUUUUUUUAUUUCAAAUAAUUUUGUUCUGCUGCAGGGUUAUCAGCUCUUUGAAGAAGUCAAAAGCUGCAGUAAACUUUUCCAACGUUGGCUGCAGUAACUAUUUUCAAUAAAAGCUGUCUGGAUGUC